CUUUAACACAUGCAAGUCGAACGAGGUCCAACCUCUCGCAAGAGAGGGGAAGACCGAGUGGCGAACGGGUGAGUAACACGUGAGCAAUCUGCCCCGAAGUCUGGGAUAACACCGGGAAACCGGUGCUUAAUACCGGAUGUCCUCACCGGACCGCAUGAUCUGAUGAGGAAAGUUUUUCGCUUCGGGAGGAGCUCGCGGGCUAUCAGCUUGUUGGCGGGGUAACGGCCCACCAAGGCGACGACGGCUAGCUGGUCUGAGAGGACGACCAGCCACACUGGGACUGAGACACGGCCCAGACUCCUACGGGAGGCAGCAGUGGGGAAUCUUGCGCAAUGGGCGAAAGCCUGACGCAGCAACGCCGCGUGCGGGAUGAAGGCCUUCGGGUUGUAAACCGCUUUCAGCAGGGACGAAAUUGACGGU
rnacentral:rRNA from 1 species